rnacentral:SRP_RNA from 1 species
GCCAGGCGUGGUGGUGCAUGCCUGUAAUCCCAGCUACUCGGGAGGCUGAGGCAGGAGAAUUGCUUGAACCCAGGAGACAGAGUUUGCAGUGAGCCAUGAUUGUGCCACUGCACCCCAGCCUGGGUGACAGAGCAAGACUCCGUCUCAA